AAGAGAUGAAAGGUCUCGUUUCAUCCAGGCCUCAGGGAUGAGCCCCGUAAGUGUCCCGUCUGAUCUGAGCUCUGUUCAUUAGAACUCAGGGUGUUUCUUGCUGAUUGAGUGAGAGCGGACACAGAGCCCUGAAUUCUCCUGGAGGCUGCUCAUUGGAAAGUCUGCUCCAAUUCACUGCAGAUAUAUAAAGCCUCACACCAGACUGCAUCUCCCCCCAAAGGCUGAGUGCAGAGCUUCCUGAGGCAAAACUCCUGUGGACCCACCAGGAAGCUGGUCUUGAAAGAUGCUGCACCGGACGACUCGUCCACUCACUAGAGACUCACUUUGCCGGAGAAGGGCUCGGGCGUCGUUGGAAGAACCCAAAGCCAGGCAUGAAAGGACCUCAGCCAGGGAGGGCACCGCAUUCACACAAAUGCUGCAUGUUCCCAUGGAAACAGCACAAAACCUG
rnacentral:lncRNA from 1 species